rnacentral:rRNA from 1 species
AUUGAACGCUGGCGGCAGGCCUAACACAUGCAAGUCGAACGAGUGGCGGACGGGUGAGUAAUGUCUGGGAAACUGCCCGAUGGAGGGGGAUAACUACUGGAAACGGUAGCUAAUACCGCAUACAAUCGGAUGUGCCCAGAUGGGAUUAGCUUGUAGGUGAGGUAACGGCUCACCUAGGCGACGAUCCCUAGCUGGUCUGAGAGGAGGACCAGCCACACGGGAACUGAUACACGGUCCAGCCGCCUACGUGAGGCCGCAGUGGUGAAUAGUGCACAAUGGGCGCAAGCCUGAUGGAGCCAUGCCGCGUGUAUGAAGAAGGCCUUCGGGUUGGAAAGUACUUUCAGCGGGUAGGCGUUACCCGGAGAAGAAGCACCUGCUAACUCCGUGCCAGCAGCCGCGGUAAGAC